UUUUGCCAAAGAUAAUUGUCCGGAUCGGCAAUGUUUCCUUUUCUUCCCUUCCCUCUCUUAGCUCUCUCUCCCACCCAAUUUUAGAGGCACGCUCACGGCUCCAGGCAGGUUCCGGCCACCUCCUUAUACCUUGAGAUGCCCCCUUAAGGACUAGCCAGAAUCGCACCGGGCAGGGACCUGUAGCGGCGACCCGCCUGCUCUACAGCGGAUCUGACAAACGGCCGGCCAACUCUCCAAGAAGACAGCCAUCUGCAAGAUUGCACCUGACUCCACAGCGGCCGGGAGCCCCGAAGCGAGGCUCUGGCUUGCAGGAAGGCCACCCAAGGGAUCGCUGGGGCUGGGCUGCCCUCCCUGGGGAGGGUCCAGCGUCCCAGCUCUUUCCGCGCCCAGGCACGUGAGCCCGCGCAGCCGGGAGCCCGACUGCAGGCGCGACAGAUGCGGCGGGCGCAGGGACGCCGACCUACCUUCACGAAGAGUUCGAUCUCGGGGUCCCUGUCGUCCCCGUUAGCUGUCGCCGAGUCCGUCAUGCCGUCGGCGCCCGGGGCCAGCGUCCCGGGCCGGGGAGGCGCCACCUCUGCGGCGCCUGAGCCAGCGCUCUGCGCUCCUGCUCCUGCUCUGCGGGGCCCUCCUUGAGAGCGGCGCUUAUUAUUAUUAUUAUUAUUAUUAUUAUUAUCGGAUCUGUUUCUCAAGCCGGGAACCGCAGUGUCUAAGAGAUCAAAUGUCCCGAGAGAUCACAUGCAAAGGAGGAGAGGGGAAAGGUGGGUUUAGGGAUGGCAGCAGGUCCCCGGAGCAACAAGUGCCGGGCUGCAGAGAGGUGUCACAGGAUCCGCUCCAGUCAGCGAUCCCCGCGUCGCCGCCAACGCGCCCAAAAUAGCCGGAGGCCGCGGGGCGGGGUCAGCCCGGGCGGGGCUGGGCGGGAGGGGCGCCCGGCGAGCGCGGCCUCUGCCCUGGCCCCGGCCCCCGCCCCCUGCCCCGCCGCCCCGGCCCCGCCGGACCGGAGGCAGCCGCGGCCGAGCCGGGCUGGCACCGCCUACGAGGCCCCGGGGACCUCACGGGAAAGGCUUACAUCACCAAAGCCUUUAGAGAAACAGUCACCUUCACAGCUUGUACAUUCUGAGCCAAUGACUGCAUACCUUCACUGCAUGCUGCACAGACUCAUCACUUCCUGCUCUGGACUGCAGACAAUAUUUGCAAUAGCGAUGUGGCAGAGAGAGAGAGAGAGAGAGAGCGAGCAUGAGCAGGGGAGGGGCAGAGAGGGGGAGACACAGAAUCUGAAGCAGGCUCCAGGCUCCGAGCUGUCGGCACAGAGCCAGAUGCGGGACUCGAAUUCACGGACUGUGAGAUCAUGACCUGAGCCAAAGUAGGACGCUCAACCGACUGAGCCACCCAGCUGCCCCUAAAUGAUCAAGAUUCUUAAAACCUGCAGAAAAGGUAAAACCACUAGAUUUUAUUUUUACAUCCCCUUUCCACGCAUUCUUUGCUUCAAAUCCUUAGUCUCAGAUCUCAUCUUACCAUUGACUUCAGAUCUAUAAAACGGCUCUCUGUUCCAUGAGACCUGGUGCUCCUAAGUAUAGUCAUUCAGUAAAAUAGAAA